GGGGUUACUUCAUUUAAUAGUCUGCAUUUCUAAUAUUUAAAAGGAAAAUCAUGAGAGUGAAUGCAAAAGUAUGUAGCUAUUAUCAACAGAGGCAGUGUACAUAGGCGUCUCAAUAUUGUUUUUGGUAUUUCAUAUAAAAGAAGAUCAAGCCUAAGAUUUCUCAUCCGUAAGUCUCUUUGAUGGGCUGGCAGAGAAAGAACCUGACACUUUUAGUAUGUUGUCUGAGAAUCACAGCUUACAGUUACUCGAUGUCUUCUGGUCUCACAGGAUGGGGCAGAGGUAUAAUUGAUUUCUUCUCUGUAUCCCUAGAAAGAGCUUUUCUCAUAUCAUAAGCAUCUUCAUCUGGCUCUCCGUUGCUAGCAGAGUAGUACUCUAACACUGUCCGGUACACACUGUAGCCUAGUUGCUUAUACAUAUUUACUGCAACCUGAUUUGAUACUCUCACAAAGAGAUCAACAAAAAAUCCACCUUUUCUUUGGAAAAAAAAAAAAUAAAUAAAACAUGGUAAAGAAGAGCAGGUGAACAUAUUGUCAAUUAAGAACUGAUAACCUAUAUUCAGACCAAGAACAAGUCUGAUGUGGUGGUACACUAAUCAGACAUCCUUCACAACAACAGACACAUUCCUUUAACAAGGAACAAAUCUGGUAUCAGCUGAAAUAAUUGUGAUAGCCAAAUGACAAAUCUUCC
rnacentral:lncRNA from 1 species